GUAAUAGCUGAGUUUUGGAAAUAUUUAUCGAUGAACAGUAUCCAAAGGAAUGAACUCCAAUUAUUACUCCUACAGUUAAUAGCAAAGGAAUGAACUCUAAAUAGAACUCCUACUAGUUAACAGCAGACCAGAUAGAAAUCCUACAGAAUUGGCAGAGGAAGGUUAAAAGACGUGGGAGAGAAUAAUAGGGGAUUCAAUUUCUGUGGUAGUUGGGUUUUAGAGAGAAAGGAAGGUAACUCUUAUUUAUUCAUGGGAUUUGAAAGAGACACUCAUUCUACACUGUUUUCUUCUUCUUUCAUGAGCCUACAAUCUCACUAGCUCCGAGUUUCUGGGAGGAGUUAUACUAAAACAUACUGCUUUCUAUUCCUAUUCUUCUUACUUUCUGUUUAAGCAAACAUACCAUUUUGAUUCCUUCUCUUUGUCGCUAAAGAAAACUUCCCAUUUUUCUUUCUAUUUGCCCAAACUUCCAAAGCUAGUUCCUAUGAAUGUCUUCCUAGGCCUAUCAACUAUCAUUUCGUUAAUUCUUGUAGAGUAUGUAAUCAUAUUACACUACUAAGCAAAUAAAAAUAAGCAGUUAAGCACCAUAACCAUUAAUAGCAGAUAUGGGUUUUAACAGAGAGCAUAUGCUGGAUUUACAUUCACAGACCUAAUUUCUGACAGUUUACAACACAAAUUUAAAUGAUAAAGAGAAUAGGCUUGUCUGUAUCCAAAAAAGAGAGAAUAGGCUUGUCGAAGCAUCUUCGCCACGCGGGUACGGGCAUAUCAUAAUCUAAUUGGAUAAACUUUCAUGAGUGAAAUAGAAUUGAAGUUAUACAGAACUUAAGAAGUAGUAAAAAGCGCUCAACCAAGAGAUGAUUACGCUGAUUUGAGAUAUGUGGUAGAUAGGGAAUUUGGUUUGGAUAACCAAGAUUCAUUAUAUACAAUGAAUGAAAUUCCAAUGAGAGUCGAGAGCCAACAGCUACAAGUUACGUGUACUUCUAACAUAUAUAACAGUGACAUUUAAUAUGAAACUUUUAAAAAUUAACAAUAGAUAGAUUCUCAAAGGAGGAAAACAACAAAUAUCCAACCACACCGGAG
rnacentral:lncRNA from 1 species